UGCUCAAUACAGAGUAUCCAGGGAUC
rnacentral:piRNA from 1 species